GGGCGAGUGGCGGAACGGCAGACGCUGGGGACUUAAAAUCCCCUGGGCCAAAACCCGUGCGGGUUCGAUUCCCGCCUCGCCCA
rnacentral:tRNA from 1 species